rnacentral:rRNA from 1 species
GAUGAACGCUAGCUACAGGCUUAACACAUGCAAGUCGAGGGGCAGCGCAGUGUAGCAAUACAGUGGGCGGCGACCGGCGCACGGGUGCGUAACGCGUAUCCAACCUUCCCGUUACUCAGGGAUAGCCUUCCGAAAGGGAGAUUAAUACCCUGAUGGUGUUUGAAUUCCGCAUGUUAUUCAAACUAAAGAUUUAUCGGUAACGGAUGGGGAUGCGUGACAUUAGCUAGACGGCGGGGUAACGGCCCACCGUGGCUACGAUGUCUAGGGGGUUCUGAGAGGAAGGUCCCCCACACUGGAACUGAGACACGGUCCAGACUCCUACGGGAGGCAGCAGUGAGGAAUAUUGGUCAAUGGGCGGGAGCCUGAACCAGCCAAGUAGCGUGAAGGAUGACUGCCCUACGGGUUGUAAACUUCUUUUGUUUGGGAAUAAAAGACGCUACGUGUAGCGUUCUGCAUGUACCUUACGAAUAAGCAUCGGCUAAUUCCGUG